rnacentral:misc_RNA from 1 species
AUGAAUCAUAGAGGGUUGAUGCUGGCAGUCCGACUGCAUGUGCUUGCUCUCUUAAUCCAUUCUACACCUGUGCACUUAAUGAUUUCAAAGGUAUGGUUUAAGCCUGCCUUUGGAACUUAUAUAAACUCUUUGCUUGAAAUAAAUGUAUGUUUUUGUCUGCCGCAAGGCAAAAUUAGGUA